UCAAAUGCCCACAUGACCAAAAUAUGAUAUUAGACACGUUAAAGACAACCCAAAGUCCAAUCACUUGAAUCUUAAAUCAUGUUAAACAUUGUUUUUACCCCACAUAGAGACACUAAAGUGAAUGUUCAGUAUUCAAAUAGGGAAAAAAUGAUAAUAAACUAUGAAUGCUGUUCCAAACCAAAUGUCAACCUUCCUAAAG
rnacentral:lncRNA from 1 species